AUCAGCCGCAUUUAGGCUCAUGUUGAUCCAAUACACAGCUAGGGCGUAUACCAUAUCUAGUAGCCAUACGCGUAAAUAUCAUGUUGUUCGCAAAUCCCAAUAUAAAGGAGAGAGACGCCUCUUGGUUGGCCAGUUCAUUCAAACUUUCGGCAUCGCUUGCAUUGGCGGUCACGUUAUUUUAGGACCCCACCUCUUUUUUUUCUUUUUUGCUUAAAAGGACCCCACCUCUUCGAACGUGGGAAUAAAGCGAAAGGCAGGUCGGCCACACGGCCCGCGCCCCAUCUAAGCUGCUUUUAGAUCAAAUCAACACGAACCGUCCGAUCGGUACAACUCCGCCACAAAGUAACGCUCUCUCUAAUCAUAUCGAACAAAUAAGUUCGAAUUUGAAUCAGGAUCGCCCAAUGAUGCAUCAUUAGCUGGCUGAUGGUUGCCGGUUAGGUACGAAUAAAUGCGAUACACCGAAAUAAUGGUGUGAGACGUCCAAGAAGAAGGAGAGACGGAGAGAGAAA
rnacentral:lncRNA from 1 species